UUCUGGGCAAGAGAGCGUGGGUCACAUUUUCUGAAAGACCCUCUUCUUUCAGAACUUAUUAACAUUAGUGUCACUAAAGUUGGUAUUCAACCCCCCACUGCUAAAUUUGACUGGCUUUAA
rnacentral:sRNA from 1 species